CAGCAGCCGCGGGAAUACGGAGGGUGCAAGCGUUAAUCGGAAUUACUGGGCGUAAAGCGUGCGUAGGCGGUUCGUUAAGUCUGUUGUGAAAGCCCCGGGCUCAACCUGGGAAUGGCAGUGGAUACUGGCGAGCUAGAGUGUGUCAGAGGAUGGUGGAAUUCCCGGUGUAGCGGUGAAAUGCGUAGAGAUCGGGAGGAACAUCAGUGGCGAAGGCGGCCAUCUGGGACAACACUGACGCUGAGGCACGAAAGCGUGGGGAGCAAACAGGAUUAGAUACCCCAGUAGUCCCUGUCUCUUAUAC
rnacentral:rRNA from 1 species